rnacentral:rRNA from 1 species
GACGAACGCUGGCGGCGUGCUUAACACAUGCAAGUCGAACGGAAAGGCCCUGCUUUUGUGGGGUGCUCGAGUGGCGAACGGGUGAGUAACACGUGAGUAACCUGCCCUUGACUUUGGGAUAACUUCAGGAAACUGGGGCUAAUACCGGAUAGGAGCUCCUGCUGCAUGGUGGGGGUUGGAAAGUUUCGGCGGUUGGGGAUGGACUCGCGGCUUAUCAGCUUGUUGGUGGGGUAGUGGCUUACCAAGGCUUUGACGGGUAGCCGGCCUGAGCGGGUGACCGGCCACAUUGGGACUGAGAUACGGCCCAGACUCCUACGGGAGGCAGCAGUGGGGAAUAUUGCACAAUGGGCGGAAGCCUGAUGCAGCAACGCCGCGUGCGGGAUGACGGCCUUCGGGUUGUAAUCCGCUGUCGCCUGUGACGAAGCGUGAGUGACGGUAAUGGGUAAAGAAGCACCGGCUAACUACGUG